UGGGGAAUAUUGGACAAUGGGCGAAAGCCUGAUCCAGCAAUGCCGCGUGAGUGAUGAAGGCCUUAGGGUUGUAAAGCUCUUUUACCCGGGAUGAUAAUGACAGUACCGGGAGAAUAAGCCCCGGCUAACUCCGUGCCAGCAGCCGCGGUAAUACGGAGGGGGCUAGCGUUGUUCGGAAUUACUGGGCGUAAAGCGCACGUAGGCGGUUAUUCAAGUCAGAGGUGAAAGCCUGGAGCUCAACUCCAGAACUGCCUUUGAAACUAGAUAACUAGAAUCAUGGAGAGGUGAGUGGAAUUCCGAGUGUAGAGGUGAAAUUCGUAGAUAUUCGGAAGAACACCAGUGGCGAAGGCGGCUCACUGGACAUGUAUUGACGCUGAGGUGCGAAAGCGUGGGGAGCAAACAGG
rnacentral:rRNA from 1 species